rnacentral:rRNA from 1 species
AGAGUUUGAUCCUGGCUCAGAUUGAACGCUGGCGGCAUGCCUUACACAUGCAAGUCGAACGGCAGCGGACCUUCGGGUGCCGGCGAGUGGCGAACGGGUGAGUAAUGUAUCGGAACGUACCUUUCAGUGGGGGAUAACGUAGCGAAAGUUACGCUAAUACCGCAUAUUCUGUGAGCAGGAAAGCAGGGGAACGCAAGACCUUGCGCUGAUUGAGCGGCCGAUAUCAGAUUAGCUAGUUGGUGAGGUAAAGGCUCACCAAGGCGACGAUCUGUAGCGGGUCUGAGAGGAUGAUCCGCCACACUGGAACUGAGACACGGUCCAGACUCCUACGGGAGGCAGCAGUGGGGAAUUUUGGACAAUGGGGGCAACCCUGAUCCAGCCAUGCCGCGUGAGUGAAGAAGGCCUUCGGGUUGUAAAGCUCUUUCGGCCGGGAAGAAAUCGCAUGGGUUAAUACCCUGUGCGGAUGACGGUACCGGCAUA